UACGGGGGGAGCAAGCGUUGUCCGGAAUUACUGGGCGUAAAGAGCUUGUAGGCGGUUCGUCGCGUCGAUUGUGAAAUCUUGCAGCUCAACUGCAAGUCUGCAGUCGAUACGGGCGGACUAGAGUACUGCAGGGGAGACUGGAAUUCCUGGUGUAGCGGUGAAAUGCGCAGAUAUCAGGAGGAACACCGGUGGCGAAGGCGGGUCUCUGGGCCGAUACUGACGCUGAGGAGCGAAAGCGUGGGGAGCGAACAGG
rnacentral:rRNA from 1 species